UCUAUCAAUCACACUGCUGUGGUCACAGACUCUUGGACUUAACUUCUCAAAUCUCAUAGGACUACUCCUCUCUAUCAAGGUCGAUAGAUCCUAUCUUGAUGAGCACCUUAUCCCUACAGUGGACUAACUGUCAUCAAUAUCCACUAUAAGGGCUCAUUGAGAUCCAUGUUUAUGCGUUAGUCAAACUCCAGCAGUUUCACUAUGAGCAGCAGUACCAUCUCA
rnacentral:lncRNA from 1 species